GGAGAAUAGAGAGGAUUUUUUAUUUAUACAUGUUUUUGAGCUAGAAUUUGAUGGAUAGCUUACUUGUUAUAUACAAUUCGUAUCAGUUAAAAGAACUUGAUCAAUAUUACGCAUGAGAAAAAAAUAGAGUAAAUGUGUUUUUAAUAUUUAGUCAUUGCAAUAAGAUUAAGGUAAAUAAAUUGUAGAUGUAAGAAAAUAGAAUUUGGUCAUUGCUACAAUUUUUCAUGUCACUGUAAUUUAACAAUAAUUGUAUUUCUUUAACCAAUAAUUUAUUUAUCUCAUGUUUAAUGCAGGAACUAAAUAUUAUAAACAAUAAUCCUAUACGAAGC
rnacentral:lncRNA from 1 species